GUGGAUACGAAAUGGUGGUUGUACUCAUCUCAGGAUGCACAACAGGCUGGUGGUUUUUACAAAGAUUUUGAGAGUUGUUCCCUUUUCCAACUACAUAUGUGAGGUAGUUUUGCCAUUAUCUGCAAUAUCUGUUGCAGCCUUAAAGAUCAACUUUUCAACCUUGGUCCAGUUAGGAAGGCGGUAUGGAAUAUGGUUUUCGUCUAGAGCACACGGACCUGGAAAUCCUCUUUUUCUGUCCACCAUGGUAGAUGAAUGGUCCCAUCAGGGAACUUUCAGCAGUGCCUCCCCCGAGCCAGACUGGGCUGAUCCUGCCAGUUCAGCCCCCGGAUGCCUCUUGGGCGACAGCAUUUACGACCUGGUUGUACCCUGGGUGCCCCUCCCCCUCUAUCUUUAGGAAAUUUGGUUCUAUAAGGUCAUUAUUAUUUGCCGUUAAAGAAUGGCUAGGAUUGAAUUUGAUAAAGUUCCCAAGAUCAGCAUUAUUGUAAAUAAAACUGUGAGACUUCAACUAGAGAAAAGCAAAACUUACAAUUAGGACAUCCUUUUACACAUUACACGUUUAGUGGUGUGUUUUAUCUUUAUUUCUUUUAAAGAUCCAAUCAGAGGAUCUGCUGGAAGCAAAUCAAAGCAUUUCCACUUCAGAAUGACACCAAUCAGGGGUUGCCCUAAGUCAGAAAGGAGUUAAGCUCUGAGUCACAGGGUGCAUCCGUGUCCCCAUUCUUUCCUCAAAUGCGAACUCCCUGGGCUGAUGAGCCUGGAGGCCUGUGGCUUGUCCAAGGUCUCGGGGCAGGAUCCCGGUGCCAGGUGUAUGUGGCCUCUUGCUCUGGUGUCUUGGGACAGAUCUAUUCAAAGGGACACAGCGUCGGAAAGUGAGCCUUGAGACUCAGGCUUUUGGAAGGGUUGUCUGUUCUGUUUAGCUUCUCAUACAGCCUGUCUGAAAGAGCUCCUAGCUCACGCAUGCCACGGGAACAAGCUGAUGGCGGGCCCAGGUUCCGCAUCAGCGGCGUUAGUGAGCGUCUGGUCCUCUUGGGGCCCAGCUAGACCACCAGCAAUGCCCCUGGCGAAGCCACAGAGGACCUCAGCUUGAAAGCCACUUGACACUGUUCACUUGUUAAUAGGAAGAAAUUCAUUUGAAAUAACAGAGUCACUAAUUGCUACUCAGAGUAUUUGUGGUCCCCUAAUCAAAGAUUUCUCCAAGCACUGAUAGUCAAAUAUAGACGAAUUAUUCACCAGUUCAAUAUAUGGUCGUUUUUCGAACAGUAGCUAUUUAAAGAGCACACUCUGGCUUGCUAGGUUUCAGUAGACGUCAGCAUGAGGUCCAGUGGAAGCAGGUUCCGGAAGCUUCAGACCACAGGCGUGGAGCUGGCAGCCCGGGAUGCUGGAUGCGGGACCUGGCAGGACCCCCUUUCACCACCUUGACCCACUCUUCAAGCCACUGUUUAAACCUGGUUCUUCCUUUCCUCGACUUGUCAUCACAGGAAGUGCCAGACUCCUCAGAGACCACAGAUUACCAGGCAGCCUUUGUCUGGGAAGCGGGGACCAUGGGGCUCCUCCAGGACACCCUGCUGCCGUCCUGCCAACACGCCUCCUCUCUGCCUCCUGGGCAUUUCCAGUUGGGGGUCCCACGCCCCGCCUUCUGCCCCUGCCACCCUGUGAGAAGCCUGAGGGCUGCACAUGCAGGACGUCACUGCCCUGACGUCCAGCAUUGUCAGAAACAGGGCGCCCCGGCCGUCAGAGGGGCAUUUUGACUACUGUCAGAGCACCAGGGCCCUUCCUGCUGCCCGCCCGGCCUCCGGUUUCCCUGUGACCUUUCUACAGCUCUCCGCUGAGAGGCGUUUCAAGCAUCUUCCCAAAGACGAUAUAUGCACAGGGGUAAACAGUGAAUGUGCAUUGAGGGGAAAGAAUUUCAGAAUUCCAGAAUGUCCGUGAGAGCUGUUCCUGUUAAAGGGAGUCCUUCCUUCUACUUUAAGAGCACAGAACGCACCUUUCCACGGUACUGAUGCGUUUCCUACACUGGGCCACAUGAAACUCUAAGGAAACAGACAACCUUGAGGACAGUGGACGUUCCAGCAAAGGGCAGCAGCCUAAGAUCUGAGCAGAAGCUCAAGGCCCACGGAGUCCGGCGCUCCCAGCUAAGACCAACUUGAUCACCGGCAUGGCCUUUUAUGGGGGCUUCCAGGGACCGGGGGAAAACCAGCCACCUUCAAGUGCCUCUUCCACCCGUGUGGCCUUUCAAAGCGCAGAUCCCACGAGGAAGACUGUGCCAGGUGCUCACGGCUCCCCGCCUGCGCUGUCGAUGUAAGUUCCUGCCAUCGCCUCCAAUCCUCAGCCCCGUCUUCAAGUGGAAAACACCAGCUUGGACGAAGGGCCGCCUGGCGGUGCAGGGUUAGCCCCAGGGGUGGCCUGCUUCCCGCACUUCCCGCCCCUGCAUUUAAGACGGGCAAGGUUGCGGCGAGGCGCUCCCUGUGGGUUAGCCCGGUGCCCGGGCUGCACGUGUUCCUGGAGGGGUCACUUGUUCUUAGGUUCACAACAGUGGUGUCGACUCAGGAGAUGCGAGGAAAUUGUACUGUCCAUAGAAGUUGCAAACUAAGACCGAUGCCACCAGCGGGGGGCUCAGCGAUUAUUAAAAAGUGUCCAGGGAGGAUUUUCGCCACACUCACUGUUCCCACGGCGUUUGUGGUGCGGGCGCUGGACGGUUCCAGAGACAGACCGUCUGUAUUUAUUCUUCUCAUCUUGUAAGCGGCCCAGCUUCUCUUAAGUGUUGGUCCAAGCUGAUUUACGGGGCUCCCCCGGGAUUGUGGAUUCUUACCAACCAAGUCUUUGCAUGGAACUGUCAGCUAAGGGGACUCUUGCCUUCCUGACAGCGGUGACUUCCAGGCGGCACAGCAGGAAGGCUCUGCAGACAGCUCGGCUGGGAGGAGCGAACGAAGGGCCGAAGGGCCAUGACAGUGACUGCUGACAGCGUCCCCACCCCCGCUAACUGGGCGCUUUCCUCCUUCUCAGUGCAAGGACUUUUCCGGUGGCGUGUUCUCCUCUAGGGACCUUCUGCCCAGAAAGAUCUAAGGUUAGGCUCCAAAGGUUGAGGUCUAAAAGUUUUUGCUGAGAUUUGUAUCUAUUUUUAGGUGCCAUUUUAAUACCAUUCAGGAAAAUGGUCGUGGACCCUCAGCCCGUGAAACACACGGGAGAGACAGCAAAGGACUCAGAACACAGGAGGCCCGUCCUACUUCUGUGGAAACUACGGGACAAACUGAAAUGUGAUAGUGGAAGUUCGGCAAGGAAAAGACUAAGACAACGCGUCUCCACACUUUCACUUAAAGAAUUAUGUAACGCUCUGCACGAUGCUGUGUCUGUGGAACGCGGCAGGUCCUUAACCUUAUCUCAGCAGAGCGGGCUGCUGCGGGUGGGGCUGCUUGUUAGGGCAGAGAGUGAGAAGCCGCCGCCCAGGGCUCGUUUCCAGACGCCCUUUCCCGGCUCGAGGCACCCGGACUCCUCAGAUCUAGAGGGGGGCUCUCGACAGACCAUCUGCUUCUCAGAAUUUCAGUCUGAGAUAAGAGAAGUGUAACCGUUUACUUCCACCCCCCUGAGAAAGGGGGGCCAUGUACCGUGGUCCAGGGGGAACACAUGCGGUCACAUCCUUCUGGAAUCCUUUGCCACAUAGAAGACCACACUGCAUCCACGUCAACGUCAUCUCUUGGCUAUGGCAACUGGUAAACAUCAAGGACCUCAGGCCCCGCGGCUGUUAAAUGCAUUACAUGAAAAAAAUCGAAGAAACAGCAAUUUUUUACAUCACAAAUAGCAAAUUAAGACCUGGGUCAGGUAUUUUUCAUCUAAAAUGUGUUUGCUAGUUUGGGUGGAAUGUGAAAAGCUUCCAUGUUUUUCCCCCGCUGAAGGUAAUACACCAGCCUCCUCCUCUCUUGCCCUUCUCUCCCCCCCCCACCCCCGCUGUCACCCUCAGCACCUAAAAUUCAUUAAGUGAUGAACAUUACAGCGUCAUGCCAGCCGGAGCGCAGACAAGCUCCCCAGGUGAGCCCUGGCUCCCCCGACAAGGGGUGGGGGCCGCUGAGUCUCCAGGCCCUGAACACAAGUGAGUGGCUCAUCUUUUCAAGGUCAAAUCAUUCACUUUGGGCAAAUGUCUUCUCUUUUUAAAGGCACAGGCGGUCUGGUCCUUUUUUCAGGCCUAAAAAAAAAUGUACCUCACACGAGAUGGAUACCACUCAGUGCAGUUUUCGGUAAAAUUACAGUAUUCGGGUUUGAGUAUCACUAUUUUUUCUACACUGUAUGGUAAAAAAAGAACUAUGUUAAUAGCUAUAUCUUAAAUACUGUGAUUUGAGGGUUUUUUUAAAAAAUCCUAAUGUAAAUAUUUUACUCACAAUCACGCAUCUAAUAGCAAACAUUGGGAUUCUUCUGCAAUCAGUGUUAAUUGACGUAUACUCGUAUACUCUCACUAGCCUGGCUCUCGGACGUGUUGGAAACACACAGGAAGCUGAAAUAUCACAACUGAAAUACAACCGCACGCACGCACGCACACACAUCAGAGCUCUCCUUCUCUCCUGAGCCAUGUGGAAUUCACUUCCCUGUAAACCUGUUCCCUUCCUCAUGCUUCCUCACACACGAAUGAGUCUGUUCUAUCAUUUCUACCAGCAAGGCUGCCUCUGACCCAGGUCAGAAGUCACCGAUUUCACACAGGAGGAUCCCGCUGGAGACCAUGAACUAUUCCUGUGUAGUAAGUAGCUGUCUGUUCUUCAGGGAAUUACUACCUGUGGGUUGUUACCAAAGAACUUUGCAAUUUGAAAGAUGCUGAUGGCAGUGACUGGCAACGGCUGGGUCUCUGCCAGCCUCCAGAGCCCAACCCGGGGUAUAAAGCGGAAGCCACAGAGCCCGUGAGCCUCCCACACGAUGUUUUCCAUACCUUGGCAGAUUUCUUCCUGAUGGGGAUCUGUACCGCCCCCGGGACCCACAGGGCCGUCACAUCCAAACCCAGGGGGAGCCUUUGCCAGACGCACGGCAGAGUGGUGCGGGUUCCCAAAGCCAGGGCUGAGCUGGAGUCCUUGGCGUGUGUUUAUCGUUACUGUUCUUGGGUGCCUUAUACUCUCAAAGUAUUUAGGGGCUGACAGACCCUUUGUGUUUUAUACUAAACAGGAGCGAUUCCAAAGCAGAUCUUUUCUGAGCAGGCUCUGACGCCCUCUCUCCAGCCCAGACCCUCUGGGUGUGAUUGGCGGGGAAUCCGGGGCCGCAGGAAGCCGGGGUGUGCAGAGGAGAGCAAAUGGAAUCUUAGUCACUUUACUGGCAGUGGUUCCAGAAAAUUAGAAAAUGGCUAUAAAAUAACUUUAAUUUUUGUUUAAUUUUGGGUCUUACUCAUUUUCCCUUUAGGAGAUUGAACUGAUCGUAUAUAUUGAUUUCUAUCCUGAAUUUACGGGAACUUAUAUGUUUGGAAUGUCCUACUGUAAGACUGAUGAAUGUAAAGAGUUAAUUUCAGGGUACAGUUUUGCCUUAAUGGUUUUAAAAAAUAAACUAUUUUUAAAAAUUA